rnacentral:tRNA from 1 species
GCGCGAUUAGCUCAGUUGGUAGAGCAAUCCCUUUACACGGGAAAGGCCGGGGGUUCAAGUCCCUCAUCGCGCA